AUCACUUUCCCAUCGAUUGAGCAUAUUCAUCAACACCAGGUGGACAUCCAGACAAAGAAAGAAGCGAUAAAUUUAUAGAGAAAUAGUUAGUAUCCAAUUUGGCAAUUCAAUGAUUGGUGGAAGUUAUGAAAUCUAAUUCCAGUCUACAAUUGGAGGAGAGAGGUGCUCUGAUUAUUACGAUUCAUUAUUUGAAAACCAAACAAGCACUCAAAGCAUAAUAGAGCAAACAAUAAACGUCAUAAACAUAAUGUCAGGAGUAAUUCAAGUAAAAAGAUCUCAGAAUUUUACAGAAACUAAAUCGCAUUGGAAUGGGUCAGAUUUCUGGCUUGAAUUCUCCAAAACAAGAAUUUCUAAUAGCACAGUAUAAUCAACUUCGAUCGUGUGGGGAAAUAAUCGUCAUGUCCAUAAAAAUAUUUAUGCUCUUUAGAAACACAGAUUGCAACACUCCAAAAAUUAAUUAUGAUUCAAUAGAUAGUAAUUCCUACAUUUUUAUUGAAGAAGAUUGGUUAUUAAUAGAGAUGGAUCAGAAAAUCUGGCUUAAUUUUCUCCAAGAGGAGAAAAACAAAAGAGCGCUCAGUAAUUUCAGCUUCGAAUCAUCUGGGGAAAAAAUCAUCACUUCCAUCUCUUUAAUUGAUGAAAAACCAAAGUUCUUUAUUUUUUUUAAAAAAAUGAAAAUUUAAUUUCACCGUUCUGAUUGAAAUACAAAGCUCCGUAGAACAAGAUCUCUGCUUGAAAACCAGAUCUGUAAUUGAAUAUAGCGUCGGCUCAUACACAGCGCCCACUAAUCAAUAGCGCCGGUAAUCAGUAAUCGACGCGUGCAGACAUAAAAUUAGACAUUCAUACACUGCAUUGAUUAAACAAAUCAAACUCAAAAUAAAAGAGAAGAGAAGAGAGGGAUUGGGAAGCCGACGAUCUGUUGUAGAAGUAAUUUUGGGGCGGAGGCUUGCUUAUUUAUAUACAGCAGUUGUAGAAGGGUUAGGC
rnacentral:lncRNA from 1 species